CGGUUGAUCCUGCCGGAGGCCACUGCUAUCGGGGUCCGACUAAGCCAUGCGAGUCAAGGGGCGCUUGCGCGCACCGGCGCACGGCUCAGUAACACGUCGGUAACCUACCCUCGGGAGGGGGACAACCCCGGGAAACUGGGGCUAAUCCCCCACAGGCUUGGGGUACUGGAAAGUCCCCAAGCCGAAAGCUCCGGCGCCCGAGGAUGGGCCGGCGGCCGAUUAGGUAGUUGGUGGGGUAACGGCCCACCAAGCCGACAAUCGGUACGGGCAGUGAGAGCUGGAGCCCGGAGAUGGACACUGAGACACGGGUCCAGGCCCUACGGGGCGCAGCAGGCGCGAAACCUCCGCAAUGCGGGAAACCGCGACGGGGGGACCCCGAGUGCCGUGGCACAGCCACGGCUUUUCCGGAGUGCAAGGAGCUCCGGGAAUAAGGGCUGGGCAAGGCCGGUGGCAGCCGCCGCGGUAAUACCGGCGGCCCAAGUGGUGGCCACUAUUAUUGGGCCUAAAGCGUCCGUAGCCGGGCCUGUAAGUCCCUGGCGAAAUCCCACGGCUCAACCGUGGGGCUUGCUGGGGAUACUGCAGGCCUUGGGACCGGGAGAGGCCGGGGGUACCCCUGGGGUAGGGGUGAAAU
rnacentral:rRNA from 1 species